rnacentral:rRNA from 1 species
AGCGACCCCAGGUCAGGCGAGACUACUCGCUGAGUUUAA